AUGCUCGCAAGAGUGAACUAGCUAACUGAAAUCACAUGAGUCAUGCAUAUUUGUUGGUGAUUGUGAUAACGUAAGGGAAAAAAAUGAUAUUACCUUACUAUUAGUGUUGUCCAAAACUGGUGCCAGAAGACUCGGUAAGGCCAGAGACGCAAACGUUAGUCGUCCUAAUCAGGCGUAAAGGGUGUGUAGGCUGCUUUAAAAGUUUUAUUUUUUAAAAAAGCUCUGAAAUUCGUAGUAAAAUUAACCCUGGUUUUUUUGUUUUUGUUUUUAAAGAACGGAUAGCUAGGGGGUAUAUUUUAUUCAAAAUGAAAGAAAUACUUCUAUACGCAAAGAAGGAAAAAACUAAAUGAUAUAUAAUAAUGUUUGUUAAAUAAACCAAAAAUAUCCGUGUUUCAGUAAAAAGUAAGAUUAAUAAAAGCUAGAAUCAAAUAGAGGAUAACUUAAAUAAUACUUAGUGUAGGGUUUAUAUCCUAAGAUACUAGGGGGAAUACUAAAGGUGAAAGCUUUUUAUCUACUAAUGAUUGACGCUGAGAAACGAAAGUGAGAAUAGGAAAUAGGAUUAGAUACCCAGGUACCUCUCACUGUCAACGAUGAAUGGUGGUUAUUAGUUUUAAUAAAAAUUAGUAACGAUGUUAACACGAUAACCAUUCCGCCUUGCGAGUACGGUUGCAAAACUCAAACCAAAAAAAUUAGUCGGUCUCCAUCAUCCCCAGCU
rnacentral:rRNA from 1 species